GUGGGGGUGUUGCGCCGCCGGGGCAGCUGCUCCUUCGGCGGCCGCCCUUGGCGCUGCCCUUGGCCAGGCCGGAAGGAUGGGGAUGCCGGGCGGGAGGGGAGGAACGCCCCUGCCAAGGGCCCUACAGCGGCUACAGACUCUGUCCCUGUCCUGUUAUCAUUUACCCAGCCAUAGGAGUGGGGUAGAAAUAACACGCACGUUUAUUGAGAGCUUACUAUGUGCCAGGCUCAAUGCCAGGUGCUUACAGUGAGUUAUUCUCUUAUUUAACCGCCCCCUAUAUGAGGCGGAUGGAGUGUCCCCAUUGUCACGGGUGCAGACACGGAGGCACCCAGACUCGCGGCUGGCCCGGGGACAGCUAACAGGGAGCGGCGGAUUCGCACCCAGGCGUCGGCAUAAGGCAGCUGGGGCGCUUCACCACCUCCCUCGGCCUCCGCUUAGGAGCGCCCCGCGUCGCUGGAAGAGGACACAGGGGCGUGGCGCCGGCCGUUGCGCAUGCCUGUUAUGAGGCAGGCCUUCCAGCCAUCAUCUCCCCUGAGCUACGAACCUUGACUGGAACUCAAAUGUGGCAGUGACCAGAUUUCAACAGGGAACGAUUGAGCCACAAGAUGGAAGGCACAUGGGCUCCUGACUGGAGCAGAGUAAACCUUGUUCUUUAAGUCACAUGAUUGUUGGAACUCUUGUUUUGGCAGCUUGUUUUUUUAUCCUAAUUAACACAGUUAAUUAACACAGAUAAAAUAAACAAUAAAAUAGAAUAGAGAGCUCAGGAACAUAUUCAUAUCCCUAUAUGGGAUCAUGGCAUAUGUUAGAGAUAUCGCUAAUCACAGGGAAAAGAAAGACUAGUUAAUAACACAGCUGUGACACGUCAUUCACAAAAAUAAAAUGUAGAUGUUUUAGUGACCUAAACAUGAAAAACAAUUAGAGGUUAAUAUUUUUCAUAACCAGAAUAAAGAAAGAUUUCUCGAAUAACACAAUAAGAACAACCAAUAAAAUAUAGAUUUAUUUAACUUUAUUAAAAUUAAAUCUUGUCUAAGGCAAAAUAUACCAUAAGCAAGAUUAAAAGGCAGGCAAUUUACUGGGAAAUAUUUGCAAUAUAUAACGUAUCUAUCAGAAUGUAUAAAGAAUGCCUAUAAUCUGUAAGAAAAGGACAAACAACCCAACAGAAAAGUAAGAAACAAUAUGAACAGACAAUUCACAGAAGAGGAUAGUCAAAUGGCCACUAAAGCCAUGAAAAGAAAAAUGAGAUACUUUUUUCACUCAUCAGAUUGGGAAAAAUUAAGAGGCCUAGUAAUAUAAAGUGUUGGUGAGAAUGUGAGGAAAAUGAUACUGCUAUACACGGCCGGUGGAAGUGUAAAUAUUUCCAUUCCGAGAGCAAAUAAGCAGCAACUAAUAACAUUUAAAAAUGUGCAUACUCUAUGACCUAUUCAGAAAAUUCAAUUUCUGGUUUUGUUCCCUGGAGAAAUUCCGACAUGUGCAUACAUAAGAUGUACACUGUACUACACUAUUGUUUACAAGUAGCCAAAUAUUGGAGACAAUAUAACUGAAUAUCUGUAGAGGAAUAAAUUAAUGAUAUAUGAUAUGUUUAUACAAUGGGAUAUUAUACAGCACUUUAAGAGGAAUGAAUUAGAUCUAUACCUCUCCACAUGGAUAGUUUUAAAUAAUGUAAUGUGGGUCAAUAGAAACAAGAUUCAGAAUAAUAUGGAAAAUGUACCACUAAUAUACCUUUUAAAAUGUAAAAA